rnacentral:lncRNA from 1 species
GUAAAAGUUAACUGCACUUAGUAAGAGGAUAAUGAGAAAUCAGUCCCACACCUGCUAUGAAUUCCUGAGAGAAGUAGGGAUGAAUUUGGAAAAACAAUGGAGGAUGCUCUUCUUGGAAAUACCAUUGUGCUGAGGAGGAAAACAACACCCUACUCCUUCCCCCUGGCUCCUCCUCCCCUUCUCCUUGCUGAAUUAGAAGCUCUGGGAAUGUUCUAAUUGGCGGCGGCCUCUUCAAAAGGAAAAUGGAUCUUGUUAUGUGAGGGCACUGAGGAAACGGGCUCCAGCUACCAAGAGGAAGAAAGGCCAGUGGGGAAUAUUCAGGUAGGAAGGCUUUAUGGACCAGCAGAUGGUUGAAAGUACUUGUGGGUCUUUGGCCUUUUUCCAUAUGAUGCAUCAUUUCUUAUGUCUCAAUGGCUGAUCUGGUUGCUAUCAAAGUUUAUUUGUUUUUUUAAGAAUCAGUCCUGUUUGGUCAAUUGAUCGCAACAGUGAAACACUGCAAGCAAAGCCCUCAGCAUAAACAUUCCUCAGGCUAUCCCUGGUACAGCUAUUGAUCGUGAUACUGAAUACAAACAAAUUACUCUUUGCAUGAGCCAUUCGAGCUAUAAAACACAGCAAUAAUAUGUUCUACUUGCUGCCAAUAAAUGUGCAUUUAUAAUAAACA